GACGAACGCUGGCGGCGUGCCUAAUACAUGCAAGUCGAACGCAGUGGGGACGGGUGAGUAACACGUGGGUAACCUCCCAUCAGAGGGGAUAACACUUGGAAACAGGUGCUAAACCGAUACUGAUGGAUGGACCCGCGGUGCAUUAGCUAGUUGGUGAGGUAACGGCUCACCAAGGCGACGAUGCAUAGCCGACCUGAGAGGGGUGUCACCCUCACUGGGACUGAGACACGGCCCAGACUCGUCCAAGAACCAUCAUUAUUCAAUCUUCGGAAAUUGACGAAAGUCUGACCGAGCAACGCCGCGUGAGUGAUGAAAUUUUUCGGAUCUUAAAACUCUGUUGUUAGAGAAGCGGUAUCUAACCAGAAAGCCACGGCUAACUACGUGCCAGCAGCCGCGGUAAUAC
rnacentral:rRNA from 1 species